UAAUCAUGGACUUCAUUAUUUAAAUGGGAAAAAUAUAGAAUCUUACAAUUAACUGUUCUUUUUGUCAUAAGAUUAUAGUGUGUGUAUGUGUAUGUACACAUACAUUCAUCUUAGCACAGCCAAAUUCUCUCCUACAGUAUCCUUGGAUAAUUACAUUUUAUGAAUCCUUGAUAUUACUUGGCAGAACAGAAAUUCUUAAUAUUUCCUGAUAAUUUUAAUAAAUACUAGAUUUUUAUAUUCACUGCCAUACUAAAGAUUUUGUUAAUAUAAUUCCUUUCAAAAUAUCUCUAAAAAUCUGUUUAGAAAGUGAAAUAUGGUCUCCUUUAAAUAUAUUAAUGUGUAAACUUUAUUUCCCUCAAGAGAUCAAUUGCAAUUAGAUAACAUUGUCUUAUCCAGUGUCACCCUUGACAGCACAGUGUAGGCUGAGAAACAAGUGUUCAGUUAUUAACUUAACCUUUGCAGGUAACUUUAGGCAUAAUGUUAUAUUUUGGAGCCAGAUAAAAAGUGGCUGAUUUAACAUCUAUUUGAUUUGAUUGCUUACAAUUCAGGCAUUAUGAGAUCUUGGAAAACAGCAUUAAUUUACAUGGUAAUAAGGGUCACCUACCAAAGCUUUGAUUAUAGCUUGAAGUAGCCAUCUCCAUGCUGCAGUUAGGUUCUGGGCAGAGGAGACACAAAUAGAUCCAGAAUGCAUAUAUUCUCAGACCUCUAGAGAUGUACAAUAAAUAUAACUUUCACUGACUUGAACAUAAAAUCAGUUUUCCAAUUUGGCCUUUAUACUCUGCUUAAUGAUUGGCACAAAAUGUUCUAUAUCAAACAUUAAUAAUAUUUAAUACUUGUUAUAGACUGAAUUGUGUCUCCCCCUCCUCAAAUUUUUAUGUUGAACCCUUAACCCUCAUUUUGACUGCAUUUGGUGAUAGGGUCUUUGAAUAAGUGAUUAAGGUUAAAUGAGGUCAGAAGGGUUAGAACAUAAUCCAAUAUGGUCAGUAUCCUUAUAAAGGAGAAGAGGUGCCAGGGAUGUGAACACACACAGAAAACGCCAUGUGAGGACAUGAAAAGAAGAAGGUGAUAUCCCUUUAUCAUUUUUUAUUGUAUCUAUUUGAUUCUUCUGUCUUUUCUUCUUUAUUAGUCUGGCUAGCUGUCUAUUUUGUUAAUCUUUUCAAAAAAACAGCUCCUAGAUUCAUUGAUUUUUUGAAGGGUUUUUCAUUAUUUCUAUCUCCUUCAUUUCUGCUGUGAUCUUAGUUAUUUUUUGUCUUCUGCUGGCUUUUGAAUUUGUUUGCUCUUGCUUCUCUAGUUCUUUUAAUUGUGAUGUUAGGGUGUCGAUUUUAGAUCUUUCCUGCUUUCUCCUGUGGAAAUUUAGUGCUAUAAAUUUCCCUCUAAACACUGCCUUAGCUAUAUCCCAGAGAUUCUGGUAUGUUGUGUCUUUGUUCUCAUUGGUUUCUAAGAACUUAUUUAUUUCUGCCUUAAUUUCGUUAUUUACCCAGUAGUCAUUCAGAGGCAGAUUGUUCAGUUUCCAGGUAGUUGUGCAGUUUUGAGUGAUUUUCUUAAUCCUGAGUUCUAGUAUGAUUGCACUGUGGUCUGAGAGACUGCUUGUUAUAAUUUCCAUUAUUUUGCAUUUGCCGAGGAGUGUUUUACUUUCAAUUAUGUCGUCAAUUAUAUAUAGAAUAAGUGUGAUGUGGUGCUGAGAAGAAUAUAUGUUCUG
rnacentral:lncRNA from 1 species